UAUCAUGCUGAAUAACUGAGGUCACAGAUCUUCAGCACUCAUACAUACACACAAAUCCUGAAAUAAUUUCUCAUUGCCUAAAGGUUUUUUGCCCAGAUUAUAAUGGUUUUACGCGCCCUGCCCUUCAGAAAACUGACCCACACAAACACACCUGUAAUGUGCGUAAUGUAAUGGUGACAUUCGUGUCAGUGUGACAAUAAUAAAUUAAACGUGGGUAAAAUAUGUCCUGCAGUCAGUGAUCAAAGACAGAAAAUUACCAUUGCAAGGAGAAAAAACAAAUUGUGCUGGAUAUUCAGUGAAGUGUGUGUCACAUGACUUUUCUACAAAUGCAAAAAUCAAAUUAAAUGCUGAGUCAAAAUGGAUUUGGGCUCCGUUAUUACACCUGCAGUUAGUGUUGGAGACCAACCUGAGGACGUCCAGUGACUGGUGGAGAGCACACAGAAGGACGAGAUUCAAAGCUGUUUGUUCGAAAGUCUCGCCAAUCGAUUCGACUUUACAGCAUGUGUUGGUAAGAAAAGCCAUGUCGUCCUGCUGUUUUUUUUCUAAUGCAGAUCUCCUCUGUAAUUACCCAGCUGUAUUUAUAGACUGCUCCUGAAAUAAUUAAGUCACUUCCCACUGUUGAACUUUUAAUACAGUCAUUUGGCCCAUUCAAUUAAGAGCAGAUGAUGUUUCCACUUACGAGAGCAUUAAAGAAAACUGUUCCACAUUCAGGGAAAUGCACUGUUUUGCUUUCUUAGAGAGUUACUGAGAGUUAAGUGUGAAGAUUAGUAUCGCUCUAAUAUCUGUCACAUCAUGUAGUUUAAAUAAAGUUACAGUCAAGUGUUUGUUAGUUUAGCUUAGCAUAAUGAUUGGAAAAUGUCUGAAAAAUUUGCCUACCGUGAUAUGUUAAUUAGUGAGCUUUGGAUGAGCUGGUAGGCAGGUUUUAUUACAUUUGGACGGAGCAAGUCUAGCUGUUCCCAUUUCCAGUCUUUGCGCUAAGCUAACCAACUCCGGACUGCUUCAUAUUUAGCAGACCCAUGUGAAAGUGGUAUUGAUCUUUCUAUCAAGUUCUUGGCAAGAAAGUUGCCAACCACAUUUCUCCAAAUAUGAAACUAUUUCCAUUAAUACUCUGGUGUAAUCUUGUCUUGAUUUUACAAACGGUGCACAUGCCUUGGGGGGAGCUCAAGAGGCUGCAGAGCGGAGGCCACUGUUUCUGCCUUCUGGUCUGCUGCAGGUCACCUUUACUGCCAAGAUAACAGUCAGGAAAGCUGCUUUGCCCUCGCAGUCAUCUACACACAGGUUGACAAGGCCGAAACAGUAUGUCAGCUUUUACAGCCGCCCACUUGAGCAAAAACCCAGCAGCAUGUAAAGGGCAAAGGCCCCACACUCCAACGCAAUCUCCUGCAGACCAAGGUUACGUAAGACCAGGACCGUCCCUGUCGAUACAGUAUGAGGCAGACCUCCAAAAACAUCACCCAUCAUCUCUAAGGAGCAGCCAAGAUUUUGUGUGCAGGCUGCUACUUAAGCAUGAGAGGCGUUGCAGGUUAUUAGUGAGGGCUUUCUGAAUCUGUCGCCAUGUCUUGUCUUUAUCCUGCAGCUUGGGUCUUUUGCAUGAACAUGAACACACACGCAUGCACGCACGCACACAAACAUUAACAUGUGUGACCCGUGCCCAUGCCAAAGGGAUUACUCCCCUCCAGGCCUCUGCCCACACAGCAGGCAGGCAACUGGGGAGUAAUGCCAGGGCCUGCUUACAGAGAUUUAGCCACUGCUUUACACUCUGUGGCUUGUUCAAACAUACGCAUAUGGCCUCCUUUGACGUCCUCAGGACCCAGUGGAUGGACCGCUGAUCUGCAGCAGUGAUAAUAAUGUGUGUGAACUGCGGUUUUGGCUGCAGGGAGACAGCGAGAAAUUGGCUUUGUAGACGUGUUUUAAUGUGGGUAGAUGUCAAAAGGAGCAGUCAGUGUAAUGCAAAUGUGUUAUUUGAUAUAAAUGCCAAGUGUGCGUCGUGUCCUUGCACUGCAGAUCACUAAUGAGUUGAUGUCAAGGGUGUGCAACACUCACACAAUGAACUGUGUGAGUGUUGCACAACAAUUGCUGUUUGACUCACGAGCGCUGCUCAUUUCAGCUUCCAACUUCAUUAUUGCUGCGAUGACUCAUGCAGUUUAUUCACUGGUUUAACACAGUGAUUAAGAUAUCGUACAAGUUUACAUAAUGUUACAUAAUGUUUUUGUAAUUGCGGAGAUAUUUCUUCAAUGUGAAAUUUACUAUGCAGUCUUUUGGAUGCAAUGGCAGUCUGUCCAAGUUAACACUGCACUGUAGAUUCUGAAUGCUGCCGUAUGCAGUGCUUAAGUACAAAAUGAAGCUGCAUAGCUAGUCUGUGUCACAAGAUAGUGAAUAAUUAUCAGAUGCUACUAACACAAAGAGUAUAGAGUUUUAAAUGAUGACUGAAGGACUGAAAGUGCCCCAAAAGACCCAUUAGAUUACUCCAGCAAGCUGAUGCAAGAACUAGUUAUGUUCUGAAAUAAAAGUCCUGUUAAGUUCACUGUUUGUUCUUGCCUUGGCAACAGCAGCUGAUAAUACAGUCUUAUUGCAUUUUCUGUGUAUAAUUUUCCAUGAGCAAAUGGAUUUUGCCCAGAUGUCACUGAAUUGUAGGAAAACUAAUGGAAAUUCAGUAUGCCCUUAUAUCGUAUACUUUAACUUGUGGUCAAAAGGGCUUCCAAGAAAAACUACAGCAUCAGUCAUUGUGGAUGGGAGCAAAGGAGAAAGUCAGCUGAUGUUAUUAUAGAGUGGCAAAGUCCUUGUAUGGAUGCAUGGGCCAAUAAAAUGUCAGAC